AACGAACGCUGGCGGCAUGCCUAACACAUGCAAGUCGAACGAGACCUUCGGGUCUAGUGGCGCACGGGUGCGUAACGCGUGGGAACCUGCCCUUAGGUUCGGAAUAACUCCCCGAAAGGGGUGCUAAUACCGGAUAAUGUCUUCGGACCAAAGAUUUAUCGCCUUUGGAUGGGCCCGCGUUGGAUUAGCUAGUUGGUAGGGUAAAAGCCUACCAAGGCGACGAUCCAUAGCUGGUCUGAGAGGAUGAUCAGCAACACUGGGACUGAGACACGGCCCAGACUCCUACGGGAGGCAGCAGUGGGGAAUAUUGGACACUGGGCGAAAGCCUGAUCCAGCAAUGCCGCGUGAGUGAUGAAGGCCUUAGGGUUGUAAAGCUCUUUUACCCGGGAUGAUAAUGACAGUACCGGGAGAAUAAGCUCCGGCUAACUCCGU
rnacentral:rRNA from 1 species